rnacentral:misc_RNA from 1 species
UACGGAGGGUGCAAACGUUAAUCGGAAUUACUGGGCGUAAAGCGCGCGUAGGUGGUUCACCAAGUGGGAUGUGAAAGCCCAGGGCUCAACCUUGGAAUUGCAUUCCAAACUGGCGGACUAGAGUACGAUAGAGGGAGGUAGAAUUCAGAGUGUAGCGGUGAAAUGCGUAGAUAUUCUGAGGAAUACCAGUGGCGAAGGCGGCCUCCUGGAUUGAUACUGACACUGAGGCGCGAAAGCGUGGGGAGCAAACAGG